rnacentral:rRNA from 1 species
GCCCAGACUCCUACGGGAGGCAGCAGUGGGGAAUAUUGCACAAUGGGGGGAACCCUGAUGCAGCGACGCCGCGUGAGUGAAGAAGUAUUUCGGUAUGUAAAGCUCUAUCAGCAGGGAAGAAGAUGACGGUACCUGACUAAGAAGCCCCGGCUAACUACGUGCCAGCAGCCGCGGUAAUACGUAGGGGGCAAGCGUUAUCCGGAUUUACUGGGUGUAAAGGGAGCGUAGACGGCAGGGCAAGUCUGGAGUGAAAGCCCGGUGCCCAACCCCGGCACUGCUUUGGAAACUGCCAUGCUGGAGUGCUGGAGAGGUAAGCGGACUUCCUAGUGUAGCGGUGAAAUGCGUAGAUAUUAGGAGGAACACCAGUGGCGAAGGCGGCCUGCUGGACGAUGACUAACGUUGAGGCUCGAAAGCGUGGGGAGCAAACAGGAUUAGAUCCCCC